CUAGAUUCCUCAUUUAUCCUAAACUGCCAAGUGCCAGCUCUCUAACUCUUUUCUCUUUUCUCUCUUGCCGAACCCUCCCUCUCGGACGUCUCUCUCGCUCUCUCCCCUAGCAUCUGCAACUCCUUCCUUACUCUCUGCAGACACUCCCUCGCUCUAACACACUCACACUCUCUUUAGCACCAAGGGCUUUAGCCUUAAUUUUUCCAUUAUCUUACAACAAAUCGAACCUUAAACUCCUAUAUUUUGAACCUAUGGAAUUCGAGGAAUACAACCAUGGUCUGGCAUGCAUCAUCGAAGCACCGUGAGGUGCUUAUCCAUUGAAGUCGAGAGCCUCAAGCUCUAUUGUGAAACCAGGUAACAAGAUGUGAUGAAUUGUGGUCGGUUUCAAGCUUAAAUUCGACAGUUUUAAACCCCUAUUAUAAUAUGUGCAUGCAUUCCCAGCUCCAGCGUCGAACUCUGGUGAAAUUGAAGCCACCUGGGGUUCUUCUUCUUCUGGGUUUUAUUCUGUUUUAGUUUAGGGAGGAAAUGGUGAAGUUCUGAGUUAAGGUUUCGUGUUCUAACUUAUGCAUACAUUCUGUUUGCUUUCCCAAAAUCCGGUAAGCACCUUCAAAGAAAAUCCGUAGAUUCCAAGGUGGAUUCCACCUCCAAUCAACCUAAAAUCGUUACAGAUUCUGGUGAUUUCCCGUGCCGACAAGCGGCGGUAGACGACAGUCACCAUUAGGAUUAACGACGACAACGACCAUUCUAUUAGUUUUAGCAAAAUCUUUAGAUGGUAAAUUAAGGUGAAGUUGCUAGUGGGGAUUUCCUUAAUCAUUUUUCCGCAAAAUUCUGCUGCUAAGGAGUAUCUGUGAGUGGAUCCUUUCUAAAAUUACAUGAUUUUAUAGUUCAAUUUCAUAAAUGAAUAGCAUGCCUUACGAGUUUAUGAUUUGACUUUCUGUUAAGCAUGUUUAUCAAAUAUGUUAAUUUUUCGUCUCGUGUUUUUGGUGAGGAAUUAAUUAUUAGCCAAUAUUGAGUUAUAGUUUGAUAUAUCGUAUUUUCUAUAAAAACCAUGAACUGGUAGAUUAUCUGAUGGAUGACGAUAGGAUGCUAGAACAUGUUUUAGAAACCUCUCUUUAUAGUAUAGACGAUGAAUGACUUUAUACUAUGAAGUGAUUAUUUAUGAGAGGCGUAACUAUUUGUGUGUACCUAGUGGACAUUAUGCCGUCUGGGGUGAGGAUCUGGUGUUGGCAGAUAGGCCGGGAGAAAUAAUCCCUAGCUACGGGCUGAGGGACACAGACCAGGCAUUGGCCGGGAGUUGGUAAUCUCUGGCUACGGGCGCAGAGACCACGGUGCUGGCAUAGGACCGUGAGUAUAUAUUUAAUUCAGUGAUCUUACUAGCAGUACACCGUGCUUACGAGACGAUCUACGAGAUGAUACAUGCGAUGAUUUAUAUGAUGUUUUUUUUCCGCGUUAUACCUGCAGAGAUGUUUUAUGGCAUGCUAGAGUUUCAGAAAACCUAUCACUUAUUUAUGCUAGUAGUUUUCAUCAUAUAUAAACCUGGGGGUUAAUAUAUUCAUAACUGUUUUCGUAUUAUGUGUGUGUGUGUGUGUAUAAACAUGGUCCACUCACCCUUGUUUUGCGCCCCCUUUCAAGAUUUAGAAUCAAGGUAUACGAUCCCGACGUCAACGCUUUUGCAUUGGCAUAUUCGAGUCCUCUCGGUGUAGGACCCACAUCUUCUUAUUUAUUCAAUUUUAUAUUAAUUCUUUUAGAGCUCUAGUUAGUUGUAUGUUCU